rnacentral:misc_RNA from 1 species
AAUUCUCAACCUCAUCUAGUUUUCGAACUUGUUGUGAUGGCUUGGAUUUGGGAGUUUUGCAGGCUGCAGUCUAACUGCGGUUCUGCUCUCCUUAAAUGUAUUAGCAGGUCUUUUACCUCUAUCCCAACGGUGUGAUAAUCUAUCUACGCUGCUGGUUUGGAGACCCUUUAUUGGGGGACUAGCUUAUAACCGUCCGCAAGGACAAAAUGACCAA